UACGAAGGGGGCUAGCGUUGUUCGGAAUUACUGGGCGUAAAGCGCACGUAGGCGGCUUUGUAAGUUAGAGGUGAAAGCCCAGGGCUUAACCCUGGAAUUGCCUUUAAGACUGCAUCGCUAGAAUUGUGGAGAGGUAAGUGGAAUUCCGAGUGUAGAGGUGAAAGUUCGUAGAUAUUCGGAAGAACACCAGUGGCGAAGGCGACUUACUGGACACAUAUUGACGCUGAGGUGCGAAAGCGUGGGGAGCAAACAGG
rnacentral:rRNA from 1 species